AGAAUAUACUAUCUGGAGCAGAAUUAAACAGAAACGUUUAACAGAGAAUGAAUCUAUUUCAUUAUAUUUUAGGGUCGAUGUGGUUUGACGUAUGACGUACUUACACGACCAACCAUGUGACCUUGGCAAGUUAAUAAUCUCUCUGGGUUUUAGUGUCUUCAUCUGAAACAAUGGAGAUGGCAGUAUUUCCUGCCUGAUACGGUACACCUGGAAUUGUGCCUGGCACCUAGUAAACACUACUGAAGUGUGUUAUUUUAUCAUUAAUACAUGUGAUAUGUACAAGUGUUAUAUUUUAUUAUUAAUACAUGUGACAGUAGGAUACAGAGCUGGAAACAGAAGGAUCAACUGAAAUAGCCCACUGUUUGAGGGACCUGCCUAGGGACGCCAGCUGGAUGUUGUUGCACUUGAGAGGAGCCCCAGUCACAAAAUGAUAACGUGUUGUUGAAGGUAUUUUAUAUCUACAGCUUACCUGUAAAUAUCUCAGGGAAGAUGCUACCGUUUGACAUCAGCCCCUUCACCCCACCCCCAAAACCCAGAUCCAGUCAGUGCAGUCCUUACCUCAAACUCAAAUAGACUACCCCUCACUCAAAUCUAUAUUGGUUAUACCAAUUGAUUUUCUGUUCAAAAAUAAUAUCUGAAACAAACUUCAAAAUCUAUAUACAUAAGGUGUAUUGAAUUUCUACAAGAGCUUAAGGUAGUUGGCUUUUAGGCUUUCAUUUUAGGUUAUUGAUCUCGUAAACUAUUAACUAUCGUUGAAAGGUGAAUGUUUUUUUAUUGAGGUAUAAUUGACGUAUUAGUUUCAGAUGUACAACGUAAGAUUCAACCUUUGUGUAUGUUGUAUAGAUUGAUCACCACAGUCUAAGUCUAGUUAACAUCUGAUACUGUAUUUAGUUACAAAAUUUUUUUUCUUGUGAUUAGAACUUUUGAGAUCCAUUCUGUUAGCAACUUUCAAAUAUGUAAUAUGGUAUUAUUAACUAUAGUCUCUCAUGCUAUAUAUUGUAUGCUGUACCUUAUAUCACCAUGACUUACUUAUUUUACAACUGAAAGUCUGUACCUUUUGACCUGUGUCACCCAUUUCACCCUUUUCCCCUGACCCUUGCCUUUGGCAACAACCAAUCUAUUCUUUGUGUCUGUGAGCUUGGGUUUUUGUUUUUAUUUUGGAUUUCACAAAUAAGUGAGAUCAUAACAGUGUUUGUCUUUCUCUGUCUGACUUAUUUCACUUAGCAUAGUGCCCUCAGGGACCAUCCAUGUUGUUGCAAAUAGAAAGAUUUGCAUUUUUAUGGCUGAAUAAUAUCCCACUGUGUGUGUGUGUGUGUGUGUGUGUGUGUGUGUGUGUGUGUGUGUGUGUAUGUGUCACAUCUUCUUCAUCCAUUCAGCCAUCGAUGGACACUUGGUUUGUUUCCAUAUUUGGCUGUUGUUGGUAAUGCUGCAAUGAACAUGGGGGUACAGAUAUCUUUUCAAGUUAGUGUUUCUUCAAAUAAAUACCCAGAAGUGAAAUGGCUGGAUUAUAUAGUAGUUUUCUUUUUAAUUUUUGAGGAAUCUCCAUACUGUUUUCCAUAGUGGCUUGCACCAAGUUUACAUUCCCACCAAUAGUCACAAGAGUUUCCUUUUUUCCACAUCCUCACCAGUGCUUAUUUCUUGUAUUUUUGAUAAGACCCAUUCUAUUAUCUACACUCACAGGUGUGAGGUGAUAGAUAGCUCAUUGUGGCUUUGAUUUGUACUUUCCUAAUAAUGAGUGAUGUUGAGCACCUUUUCAUGUACCUGUUGGCCAUCUGGAUGUCUUCUUUGGAAGAUAUCUGCUCAGAUCCUGUGUGUGUGUGCAUGCACUAUUGUGUUACAUGAGGUCUUUAUAUAUUUUGGAUGUUAACCCCUUGUCACGUAUACGAUUUGCAAAUAUUUUCUCCUAUUCUGUAGGUUGCCUUUUCAUUUUAUUGGUGGUUUCCUUUGCUGUGCAGAAGCUUUUUGGUUUGAUGUCAUUCCAGUGUUUAUUUUUGCUUUUGCUGCCUUUUUUUUUUCAAUGUUUAUUUAUCUUUGAGAGAGAGAGAAAGAGAGACAGAGUACAAGUUGGGGAGGGCAGAGGAAGAGGGAGACACAGAAUUUGAAGCAGGCUCCAGGCUCUGAACUGUCAGUACAGAGCCUGACAUGGGGCUCAAACCCACGAACUGUGAGAUCGUGACCUGAGCUGAAGUCAGAUGCUUAACUGAGUGAGCCACUCAGGCGCCCCUGCUUUUGCUGCCUUUGCCUUUGGUGUCAGAUGGCUGCCUUUUAAAAGUUUGAUUUAGGAGGAUUGUAUUUACAGUCCAAAGUUGUAUAAUCAUCUUUAAAAGUGACUGUCAAAUUAAUUUUUUUUUGUUUGGUAGAAUUCUAAAUGCAUGAAAAUAGCUUUAAGAAAUGGAACUUGAGGGGCGCCUAGAUGGCUCAGUUGGUUAAGCAUCUGACCCUUGAUUUCACCUCAGGUCAUGAUCCCAGUGUCCUGGGAUAGAGCCCUGUGUCAGGCUCCACACUGAGCACGGACCCUGCCUGGAUUCUCUCUCUCCUCCUGCUCUCUCCCUCUCUCUCUCAGCGUCACCCACCCCCCCCAUCUGCCCCUCUACCCACCUUGCACAUGCUCGCUCUCUCUCAAAAUAAAUAUAAAAAAAAUGGAACUUCAGCAGUAAUUUCAUUUCCAACUCAAUAAACACAUGAUACUUUGCUACCAUUUUGGUAGUGUUAUAAGUGGAUUGACUAUUUCUGGUGUUCUAAGUGUGCUGCUCUGGGGAUAUUCAAGGUGCUAUUUAAUGUAAUGAUGUCUUUCUGGACUUCUGUAAACUUAUGUGUUUGGUCUGGUGAAGAUAUAUUUUUUGAGAGAAAAUAUUCUCUUGUGGAGUGUGAACAUUAUCUGCCUUUACACCUAGCUUAUGUGAAAAAUUGUCUGCUUUGUGUGCUAUAGUUUCAGUCGCUAAAAAUAGUAUUGUGAGCUUAGUUGCUUUUCUUUAAGUAGAUAUACCGUGACAGCCAAAUUUGUCAAGAAACCGUCGAAGAUGUGAGUAUUGAACUAUGAAAAUGAGAUUUCAAAGGAGUGACAGUCGACCAAGAGUGAGGGCAGAUCAGAUAGGACCGCUGAAGUUGUGGAGAAGAUGGUGUUAUGUUGGGGAGUCUGUGAGGAGGAACAUACGAAUAUAGACAAGUCUGCUUUUGCAUCUUGGAUUUCAUAAGAUUUUUGAGCCAGUUUUGCAGGUAUGUAUCAAAAGAGAAAGGGGAAAGCAGGGUUGAUGGGGGAGAAUGGAGAAAAAAGGAGAAGGGGAAGGAAUACACUUUGAAUUUAUCCUGCAAGUACUUAAAAUUAUUAACAGAUCCAUAAUGCAUUGUGCCAAAGGUGACUUAGCUUGAAAGCGAGCUAGCCUGGAGCAGACAUGACUACCUGGGGCGGGGGGUGGGGGGGGGGUGCUGCUCUCAGCAGAAUAAGAGACACAGUUUAAUAUAAAAAGGACAAGAUCCCUUAUCUGAGGGGGAUAUAACUUGAGAGGUCAUAGAACAUUGUAUCUAAGAAACAGUUGCCAAAGCAGAUAUUACAAUGAAAAGUAAGGACAGUAGACUUAACAUGAUCUUGUCUUAUUAACUGAUAAGAAAAUCUAGUUUUGGAAAUACGUAAAUACAUACACGUACACACACGUACAUGAGACACACAGAUAUACAUAUAUAUGUAUUUCUGUAGUUUUGAUGUUACAUCCCUUGAAAUAAAUUUUUAUUUAUCCUGUAUUUUUUAUUAUACGUCACAAUUUUCACAUCUUCGUCAUGAUUUCAGUCCGUCCUCAGAGCAACACCAUGAAUCAGUAGGUGGCUUCCUCAUUCUUCAGAUGAGGACCGAGGCCACAUUGGUUGCAUGGCCUGCCCCGGGGAGUAGUAGGUGUGGGUCCACAGCCCAGGCCUUCGAGCCUCACUGCACAGUGAUUGUGUAAAGUGGAGAACAGGGGCACAGGGGGAACACUGCAACAGCUUUGAUUUUGGAAAAUAAGUUUUGUUUUAAAAAAUUUUUUUUUCAACGUUUAUUUAUUUUUGGGACAGAGAGAGCAUGAACGGGGGAGGGGCAGAGAGAGAGGGAGACACAGAAUCGGAAGCAGGCUCCAGGCUCUGAGCCAUCAGCCCAGAGCCUGACGCGGGGCUCGAACUCCCGGACCGCGAGAUCGUGACCUGGCUGAAGUCGGACGUUUAACCGACUGCACCACCCAGGCGCCCCAUAAGUUUUGUUUUUUAAAUGUUUAUUUAUUUUGAGGGAGAGUGAGCGUAUGCAUGAGUGGGGGAAAAGACAGAGAGGGAGGGAGACAGAGAUUCCCAGGCAGGCUUCCUGCUGUCAGCACAGACCCGACGUGAGGCUCAGUCUCACAAACCGUGAGAUCAUCACUGGAGCCAAAAGGAACUGACUGAGCCUCCCAGGCGCCCCUGGAAAAUAAGUCUUUAAAUGUUGAUCGGUAAUUGAUGUUGGGACGGAUGAAGUCUGGCUAAGCUUCAUCAGGGGAGAUCAUGCAGAGUAGCGGUCUUUGUGAACCAGCGAGAGCAUACACUUAGAUCCGAACUGAGGUUUCCAGACUUAAAGAAAUUGGUGUAUGGAUACUGAUUUGACUGUUUCCACUUCCAGAGAAGUUUCAAGUUGGAAAGAAGAGGCAGGAGGAUUUUAAUUAAAUCUUAUGAAAUCUUCAACAUCCACAAUCAGCGUGUCAGAGCCCAGCAUCUGUUUUGUGACCAGACUUUUUGUGUAUUAUAUUACUCGGUGCGAGGGCCUGAUGUGAUUAUGUGGUCAAGAACAGUUGGGCAGAACUGUUAAAUCAUUAGUUUCUGUCUUAGUGCCCACAGCCUCACUUUCUUAGGGUUGUUUUUCAGUUCUGUGAAACAAUGUAUAUUUGCAAACACCUCAUCAGUGGCUCAGUGUCCUAAUCUUUUACUUUAAAAUCUAUUCUCAAAAGAGAUCCCCUCACUUCCCAUGAACUAUUUCAAUUGAGUCCCAAACCUUAUGUUAACCAGGUGCGAGGGAUUUUGGUGAUGAGGGACAGUAAAUGCAGGAAACGAUGUGUUCCCAUUGCCUAUGAAGACACAGGGUAGUUCUGAGGUAGCCUUUACCCAUACCAGCUACCCAGUCCAGGCCUUAAUUAUCCAGAUUCUUGUAGGUAUCUUGUCGGUAUCCAGAUUCCUUCUUGCAGGAGGAAAAGACUACCAGAAUUCUUCAGAGCAAACAUUGUAACCCACUAGAAGAACUUACGUUUUUGAAGAAAAUAGGUAACGCUUAGCUAGAAGACAGUGUUACCAUAGCUUUUGCUUUCUCUAAGAAACGUUUUGUUAAACAAAAGGUCAUGUAUUUAAUCAAAGAAAUGAGGGGCGCCUGGGUGGCUCAGUUGGUUAAGUGUCUGGCUCUUCAUUUUGGCUCAGGUCAUGAUCUCACAGUUUGUGGGUUUGAGCCCCAUGUCGGGCUCUGUGCUGACGGCUCAGAGCCUGGAGCCUGCUUCAGAUUCUCUGUCUCCAUCGCUCUCUGCCCCUCCCGUUUGUGCGCGCGCGCUCUCUCUCUCUCUCUC